UCCUUACGUUUUUAAGAAGAAAGGAGGCCCUCGUUAAAUUAAUAUACAAUCUACACUAACUCCAUCGAUUCCUAAUUGGCAGUUGGCCUGCUCGAAGACACUAAAUCAGGCGUGCCUGUGAGGAUGGGCCAAAGGGAGGAAGAAAAUUUCAAUCUACACCUUCACCCUGAAUGACACAGUGUCUGAGAGCCCGGCUUGCUCUCUUCCGUCAUUAUUUCCUUGCCAUUCAUCCCUUGAAGCGUAAAAGAGGAGAACACAUCGGACUCUAUAAUAGGGACACCAUGACCUGGCCCACGUGGAUGGCUGCAGGAACAAAGAAUUCCUGCACCAAGAAGUUUGCAACAACCAACCACAACCCCUCUCCUGUUUUUUCGUAUAAAAGGAGCCUGUAUUUUGACUGGAGGAGGAUGGUUCUCCAAGACAUUAGUCUGCCAUCCUCUCAGUCGGCUUGCUUUCCGAAUAAAUUCGCUAUUCCUUGC